CCGGGUGCAUAGAGAACUACAACUCCUAUAAGGUUCCGCGCCGCGCAGCCGCAGAGAAAACCGGGUGUGGGAGGGGGACGGAGAGGGUGCGCUUGGCGGCCAUGUUGGUGGUGUGGGUUCGCCGUUAGCUCGGAGGAGCGGCCGGGAAAUCGGAUUAAAAUGUCGGCAAGGGGAGGGCGGGAGCUGAAUACUCAGGGGCGAGUAAGGAAAGGGAGGAAACAGGGAUGGGGGGGUCGCGUCUCUUCUCCCUCCAGACGGACGGGUGGGCGCGGCGGCCAAUAGACCCCGCAGUGCGUUCGGUUAUCACCCCCUCCCCCAGCGUUGACGGUGCGGCGUGCUUAAGUCCUCCCUGCGGAGGGAUCAACCUUGGUGAAGGGGGGCGGGGGGUUGCUGAGUAGAACCGUGCGCGGAAAGGCCCCGACGGAGCCCUAGCAGCGACCGGCUCCAUCUGCCCCACGGACGGCAGCGGCCGAGGCCUCUGGCCCACCAGAGCGACGCCCGCGGAUGCGUGGCUAGGCCUCUCGGCCCCUGUAGGAGAUGUUGCAAUGUUCCUGCCCUUCAUCGAUGGAAGAUAUACUGAUGCUGAGGAAAUGGAAUGCAACUGUCCCUCCCCUGCCUCUCUUUUUUUAAACUGCAGGUUCCCAUGCUCAGAAUUUUGAGCCAACACUCUGCCUUCUCCCUCCUCCUACAAAACUACCAGUUGGGAUUGAUGUAGGGGGUGCACUUCAGGCCUUAAUUUUAGCUGGAGUCAAAUAAAAAUAUUGCCAUGUUGGUAACUGAAGAAAAGGUAAAUGAUGUGGUGUAUGUUGUUGGAUCAAAAUGGCAAAAAUGUCUUGCACCUCAUGGUUCCUCUUUCAGAGGAAUGCAGAUGUUACAAAAAGCAGUUUUACCAAGUGCCGCAUUCUUUUCCUAGUUUCUUCACUGCCUGAGUCAGUAUCUACUGGAAUAAUUUAUGCUAAGGAGGAGAAAUGAGGGUUUUGUUUUUUGAGAUGGUUGGGGAUAUAUAAUUGCAGAAGAACAGCUGUCUAAACUCUUCAAAUUAAAUCUGGCCUAGAUCUGUGCAGCUGGAACCUCUUCAUAUUAAGCAAAAGUGGUAAGUAUUUUGAUGGAGUACUUAAAUAAUGUUUGAUUUUCCUUCUGUGAAAGACUGUUCUUAUCUGCUAACAUGUUGUCAGAGAUGAAUCAGCCUGCUUUUUCAUCUUUACGACAGACUUCCUGACCAGCAAACAGCGAAGUGUGGUGGGCAGAUUCUAGAAACAACUUUCUUCAGUGGAUGAUGUGUGGGAAGUCUGCUUUGUACACCUUCACUGCUGUCCCCUAUUUUUAGGAAUAUACAAUUUACUUUGAUUCCAAUGUUUUCUUUGCCUAAAGAAAAUAGGUUUCCUCUUCCCACGAAGACAUAGAAGGUUGAUGCUCGUCACAGCAGUUGCCAGGGAAGGCCAAUUUAAACAAAGCAGGGGGCAAUUGCAAUAUCAGUUUGCCUUGUAAGUCUGGUGCAUGAAAAGUGAUGCAACAAAAUCUAUUCUAUAUUACAUAAUUCACUUUCCCCCCCACCAGUGUGGAGCUUUCCAAUCUUUGUUACUGUCAGUCUGCAGCCAUCUGGUGAUGUUCAUUAAUCACAAUUUGCCAUGGCCUUCAGAAGUUUCACUUACACAUGUCACACUGGAUCUCUAAAGUGAUUUUCUAGAAUUUCUAUGUUUUAAAUCAUUAAGGAUAUAGUUCCAAGUUACACAACAUGCUCACACUAGUGCUCUGUAGUGUUGCAGGAGAUGGUGCUGGAGUAGUGGAAGUGCUGUUACUUUGGAUAACAUGGUAAAAGUUUAAGUGGUUCUGUAGUUGAAGACUGAGCUUGACACUUCUCAAAAUAAGUAGGUGAAUCCUCUGUCUAUUCUAAUACUGCUUUUGUCAGUAAACUCAUUCCAGUGUUUGUACAACACCUCAGUCCCCAUUAUGUUUGCCUGUACUUGCACUGUUAGUGUAAUCUAACCUUUUAUGAUGGGAAGACACUUUAGACUGUCACAAUUGUUAAAGUGACUGUAGUCCAGUGGCUUUCAAACUUUUUUUUUCUGGCGACCCAGUUGAAGAAAAUUGAUGCCUACGACCCAACAGAGCUGGGGAUGAGGUGUUUGGGCAUGAGGGAGCUUAGGGCUGGGGCAGAGGGUUGGGGUGCAGGAAGGGGGUCAGGGCUGUGGGCUGGUGGUGCAGCCUCAGAUGGGA